rnacentral:rRNA from 1 species
UACAGAGGUCUCAAGCGUUGUUCGGAUUCAUUGGGCGUAAAGGGUGCGUAGGCGGCGCGGUAAGUCGGGUGUGAAAUCUCGGGGCUUAACUCCGAAACUGCAUUCGAUACUGCCGUGCUUGAGGACUGGAGAGGAGACUGGAAUUUACGGUGUAGCGGUGAAAUGCGUAGAUAUCGUAAGGAAGACCAGUGGCGAAGGCGGGUCUCUGGACAGUUCCUGACGCUGAGGAACGAAAGCGUGGGGAGCGAACAGG